AGUGCUAGAAUCAGAGUCAUAGAGCACCCCCAGUUGGAAGGGGCCCAUAAGGAUCGCUGAGUCCAACUCCUGAAUCAUCAAGUCCUACUCCUAAGAGUCUGUAUUUGUUUAAGAAAUGACCAAGAAAGGCUUGCGUUAUCCUUACAAUGUGCUAUAGGAAGCAACCCCUACCAAUAUAAGAAUCCAAUUCCAUGCAAGGAAACAAAAACCUCCAGUUACACGUCUUCCAGAUCCAGGCAGUCAUGGAAGGAUGGAAAAGCCCUCUGGGGACCUCUAGCCCACCCUUCUGAUCCAAGGAGGGCUAAAUUCAAAGUAAAAUCAGAUUGCUCAUGGCCUUGUGCAGUGAAGUUUUUAAAACUUCCUGGGGCUGGGUUUUUUGACAAAGACCUUGUACUACAUCCCUCCUUAGUCAUGCCAAACAAGUUCCCUCAGUACCCCUCAGCAUUUUAGCGACAAUCCACAGGACUCUGCAGAGUUUGCUGACAUCUUCAUUAUACUGGAGUGCCCUUCAACUGUCCACAGUUCUCUAGAUGCAACCUCAAGAGUGCUGAGAAGAGGAUAAUAAGCCACAUCCCCACCCUGCCAGCAGCAUCCUUGCUAAUACAGCCCCAAAUUGGGUGUGGAUGUUCAGUGAGUUGGUGUACAAGAGAGAAAAUUACUGAUGGCUCAAAAAAAAGCUAAGAAUGAAUCUACAGACCACAAAUAAUGUCUAAGUUCAGGCUGGAAACUAGAAGUAGUACAAGGCACAGUGAAAGCAGAAGUCUGGAGAAAACUUUCAGUUUCCUGUUGAGAAUGAAGAGUGAAGAGCUAAAGAAUAAGGAUGGAAAAUCCAUACGAUACCUGCCUGGAAGUGUGUGGCACUUUGGAAAAGAUGUCCUUGUCUUGGUUGCCAUGGAUGAGUGGGAGUUGACAGCAAUUACCAACAGGUACCCCAAUGUCUUAAGACGAAGUGACAUACCUGGUUUGGGCCAGGUUCUCACCUUCCAAACUAGGAGCAGAAGGCCAGAAUAGACUGAACCUGUGGGCUCAGAAUUUGGCUGUCUCAAAUUCAGGAGAUGUGGGGUCUUAGAAAUUUUCUCUAAGCCCAUGAGCUGGGAGUCCAACACAAGAAAAAUGAAAAGGAUAUUACAUGGGUGACUGGGGCAGUUUUGGACAGUUUCCCAGUUGCAUAUUUGAAAAUGAGAGGUGGGGGGAGAUAGCAGGAGAGUGAAAGAA